rnacentral:rRNA from 1 species
AAGACAACUCUCAACAACGGAUAUCUAGGCUCCCGUAACGAUGAAGAACGCAGCGAAAUGCGAUACGUAGUGUGAAUUGCAGAAUUCCGUGAACCAUCGAAUCUUUGAACGCAUAUUGCGCUCGAGGCUUCGGCCGAGAGCAUGUCUGCCUCAGCGUC